rnacentral:misc_RNA from 1 species
CCAAUAGCGUAUAUUAAAGUUGUUGCAGUUAAAAAGCUCGUAGUUGAAUUUCGGGACCAAUCUGCCGGUCAUGCCUCCGGUACGCACUGGUUUUAUUGGUUUCUCCCUUCUGACGAACCAUGAUGUCAUUAAUUUGGUGUCAUGGGGAAUCAGGACUGUUACUUUGAAAAAAUUAGAGUGUUUAUAGCAGGCUCACGCUUGAAUACAUUAGCAUGGAAUAAUGAAAUAGGACGUUUGACCCUAUUUUGUUGGUUUCUAGGAUCGACGUAAUGAUUAAUAGGGAUAGUUGGGGGCAUUAGUAUUCAAUUGUCAGAGGUGAAAUUCUUGGAUUUAUUGAAGACUAACUACUGCGAAAGCAUUUGCCAAGGAUGUUUUCAUUAAUCAAGAACGAAAGUUAGGGGAUCGAAGACGAUCAGAUACCGUCGUAGUCUUAACCAUAAACUAUGCCGACUAGGGAUCGGAUGAUGUUAAUUUUUUAAUGACUCAUUCGGCGCCUUACG